AUCCCAUGAUGAGGACGGGCGGUGACGUAUUCCUGCAGCCUUUCCCAAGCUUCAAGAAUGGUUCAUCUCUUGUCUACUGAAAGCUGGAUAUUCUUCCACAAGAGCGU
rnacentral:snoRNA from 1 species